GACGAACGCUGGCGGCGUGCCUAAUACAUGCAAGUCGAGCGAACAGAUAAGGAGCUUGCUCCUUUGACGUUAGCGGCGGACGGGUGAGUAACACGUGGGUAACCUACCUAUAAGACUGGAAUAACUCCGGGAAACCGGGGCUAAUGCCGGAUAACAUUUAGAACCGCAUGGUUCUAAAGUGAAAGAUGGUUUUACUAUCACUUAUAGAUGGACCCGCGCCGUAUUAGCUAGUUGGUAAGGUAACGGCUUACCAAGGCAACGAUACGUAGCCGACCUGAGAGGGUGGUCGGCGACCUGGGAGCGGAGACGCGGUCCAGGCGCCUGCGAUAGGCAGCAGUAGCGAAUCGUCCGCAAUAGUCGAAAGCCUGACGGAGCAGCGCCGCGUGAGUGAUGAAGGUCUUCGGUGCGGAAUACUCUGUUAUUAGGGAUGAACAAAUGUGUAAGUAGCUGUGCACGUCUUGACGGUACCUAAUCAGAAAGCCACGGCUAACUACGUG
rnacentral:rRNA from 1 species